rnacentral:rRNA from 1 species
UACAGAGGGCCCAAGCGUUGUUCGGAUUCACUGGGCGUAAAGGGUGCGUAGGCGGUCGGGUAAGUCUGAUGUGAAAGCUCUGGGCUCAACCCAGAAAUGGCAUUGGAUACUAUCUGGCUAGAGGAAUGGAGGGGGGACUGGAAUACUUGGUGUAGCAGUGAAAUGCGUAGAUAUCAAGUGGAACACCAGUGGCGAAGGCGAGUCCCUGGACAGUUCCUGACACUGAGGCACGAAAGCUAGGGGAGCAAACAGG